rnacentral:rRNA from 1 species
UACGUAGGGUGCGAGCGUUAAUCGGAUUUACUGGGCGUAAAGCGUGCGCAGGCGGAUGUUUAAGUCAGAUGUGAAAUCCCCGGGCUCAACCUGGGAAUGGCAUUUGAAACUAGGCAUCUAGAGUGCGACAGAGGGGGGUGGAAUUCCACGUGUAGCAGUGAAAUGCGUAGAGAUGUGGAGGAACACCGAUGGCGAAGGCAGCCCCCUGGCAUGACACUGACGCUCAUGCAAGAAAGCGGGGGGAGCAAACAGGAUUAUAUACCCUGGUAGUCCACGCUCUAAACUAUGUCAACUAGUUGUUGGGGACGUAAGUUCUUAGUGUCGAAGCUAACGCGUGAAGUUGACCGCCUGGGGAGUACGGCCGCAAGGUUG